UACGUAGGGGGCAAGCGUUGUCCGGAUUUAUUGGGCGUAAAGAGCGUGUAGGCGGCUAUGCAGGUCCGCUGUGAAAACUCGAGGCUCAACCUCGAGACGUCGGUGGAAACCGCAUGGCUAGAGUCCGGAAGAGGAGAGUGGAAUUCCCGGUGUAGCGGUGAAAUGCGCAGAUAUCGGGAAGAACACCCGUGGCGAAGGCGGCUCUCUGGGACGGUACUGACGCUGAGACGCGAAAGCGUGGGGAGCGAACAGG
rnacentral:rRNA from 1 species